rnacentral:rRNA from 1 species
AGCUCUGUAAGCGUAUACCAAAGUUGUUGCAGUUAAAACACUCGUAGUCGAAACUUGGCGGGCGACUUAGAUCGUCUUUACCGACGAUCUUAGGUUGGCCACCUUUGUGGAGGGGGGCCUAGUGGUGCUUAACCGCUUCGCUAGGUCGCUACCACCGUUUACUGUGAAAAAAUUAGAGUGUUCAAAGCAGGCGUUUGCCCUAAAUACAUUAGCAUGGAAUAAUAGAAUAGGACCUGUUUCCUAUUUUGUUGGUUUGUUAAGAUCGGGUAAUGAUUAAGAGAGAUGGUUGGGGGCAUUUGUAUUCCAGCGUCAGAGGUGAAAUUCUUGGAUUGUUGGAAGACAAACAGCUGCAAAAGCGUCUGCCAAGGACAUUUUCA